AUGGUUACCCGGGGAGCCAUCACGCCAACCCAUAUCCCCACAUGUACGUGCCGCCUAAGGAGGGUGGCGGAGCUCCUAGAUGGCGAGGGGUCCUGGCGCAUGGACAUGCUCCGCCGCUACUUCCUCCCGGCGGAUGUCGACGUCAUUACCAGCAUCCGCAUGUCGACCCGCGUCACCGAGGAUAUUAUUGCUUGGGCACCAGAGAGGAACGGUAUCUUCACCGUUCGGUCCGCCUACCGCCUGGUCAUGGACGAGCGUGAGUGUCCUUCGGCUUCCGCCAUGAGCAGGGCACCGGAUGGUCAUCGCGCCAUCUGGAAGAUCAUAUGGGGGUGCCCUGCUCCCCCUAAGGUGGAGGCCAUCACCAACACUAGCCCAGAGUGGAUCUUUUCACUGCUGGACCCCUUGGAUGAGACGGCGAGACUAGUGGUGCUCAUGACCAUGUGGAGAGUAUGGCAUAGAAAGGGAAGAUGGUGGUCCUGCCUUCACCACCUCGCACUCCAGCGAGUACGGCGCCCAAGGGAGCUCCGCACAUGCGAUAAUGCUUUGGAGGCGGAGCUAGCAGCAUGCAGAGAAGGCUUGCAGCUGGCCUUGCAUCGGUCUAACCUACCUAUCGUGGUUGAGUUGGAUAGCGCGGAGGCGGUGUCGAUGAUCACAGCGCGCACGAUGGAUAGAUCAUCACACCGUGCACUUAUAGAGGAGAUCUGCAGAUUGGUUGAUAGUGAUGCUAGGGAGAUCUCUUUUACUCAUUGUAGCCGCUUGCAGAACAUUAUUAGUCAAGAGCUGGCCGCCUAUAGCCGUAGCACUCCGUGCAUAGCAGUUUGGCUUACUACUGGGAUGAACUUUGUUGUAAACCUGGCUCUCGCUGAGAAGCUUUCUUGA
rnacentral:rRNA from 1 species